GAUGAACGCUGGCGGCGUGCCUAAUACAUGCAAGUCGAGCGAACGGACGAGAAGCUUGUUCCUCUGAUGUUAGCGGCGGACGGGCGAGUAACACGUGGAUAACCUACUUAUAAGACUGGGAUAACUUCGGGAAACCGGAGCUAAUACCGGAUGAUAUUUUGAACCGCAUGGUUCAAAAGUGAAAGACGGUCUUGCUGUCACUUAUAGAUGGAUCCGCGCUGCAUUAGCUAGUUGGUAAGGUAACGGCUUACCAAGGCAACGAUGCAUAGCCGACCUGAGAGGAUGAUCGGCCACACUGGAACUGAGACACGGUCCAGACUCCUACGGGAGGCAGCAGUAGGGAAUCUUCCGCAAUGGGCGAAAGCCUGACGGAGCAACGCCGCGUGAGUGAUGAAGGUCUUCGGAUCGUAAAGCUCUGUUAUUAGGGAAGAACAGAUGUGUAAGUAACUGUGCACGUCUUGACGGUACCUAAUCAGAAAGCCACGGCUAACUACGUG
rnacentral:rRNA from 1 species